UACAGAGGUCUCAAGCGUUGUUCGGAUUCAUUGGGCGUAAAGGGUGCGUAGGCGGCGCGGUAAGUCGGGUGUGAAAUCUCGGAGCUUAACUCCGAAACUGCAUUCGAUACUGCCGUGCUUGAGGACUGGAGAGGAGACUGGAAUUUACGGUGUAGCGGUGAAAUGCGUAGAUAUCGUAAGGAAGACCAGUGGCGAAGGCGGGUCUCUGGACCACGACUGACGCUGAGUGAGCGAAAGCCAGGGGAGCAAACGGG
rnacentral:rRNA from 1 species